rnacentral:rRNA from 1 species
AGGGAAUCUUGCGCAAUGGGCGAAAGCCUGACGCAGCCAUGCCGCGUGAAUGAUGAAGGUCUUAGGAUUGUAAAAUUCUUUCACCGGGGACGAUAAUGACGGUACCCGGAGAAGAAGCCCCGGCUAACUUCGUGCCAGCAGCCGCGGUAAUACGAAGGGGGCUAGCGUUGCUCGGAAUUACUGGGCGUAAAGGGCGCGUAGGCGGAUAGUUUAGUCAGAGGUGAAAGCCCAGGGCUCAACCUUGGAAUUGCCUUUGAUACUGGCUAGCUUGAGUAUGGAAGAGGUAUGUGGAACUCCGAGUGUAGAGGUGAAAUUCGUAGAUAUUCGGAAGAACACCAGUGGCGAAGGCGACAUACUGGUCCAUUACUGACGCUGAGGCGCGAAAGCGUGGGGAGCAAAC